rnacentral:rRNA from 1 species
CCCUGGCUCAGGACGAACGCUGGCCGGCGUGCCUAAUACAUGCAAGUCGAGCGGAUUUAUCCUUCGGGAUAAGUUAGCGGCGGACGGGUGAGUAACACGUAGGUAACCUGCCUAUAAGACUGGGAUAACUAUCGGAAACGAUAGCUAAGACCGGAUAACUGGUUUUCUCGCAUGAGAGAAUUAUGAAACACGGAGCAAUCUGUGGCUUAUAGAUGGGCCUGCGGCGCAUUAGCUAGUUGGUAGGGUAACGGCCUACCAAGGCGACGAUGCGUAGCCGACCUGAGAGGGUGAACGGCCACACUGGGACUGAGACACGGCCCAGACUCCUACGGGAGGCAGCAGUAGGGAAUCUUCCGCAAUGGACGCAAGUCUGACGGAGCAACGCCGCGUGAGUGAUGAAGGUUUUCGGAUCGUAAAGCUCUGUUGCCCUAGACGAACAGCAAGGAGAGUAACUGCUCUUUGUGUGACGGUAUAGGAGAAGAAAGCCCCGGCAACUA